AAAACUCUAGCAAAUUGGAGAGAGAAGAGGGAGAGUUAGCCGAAUCAAGAGGGAGAGGAUGAAGAUCAAGAUCAAGGGAUGAUUAAAGAUAUGAAGAAGAAGAAAAACGCUCAAGGAUUGUCUAUAAAUUGUGUUACAAUGAGCAUGUUAAAUUUCAUAUGAUGUGUAUAUGAAUCGCGAAAGUCAAAUUAUGACUAUAUGUGGUUGAGUUAUGGAACUCAAUUUGUGAUAUGUGAUAUAUCAAGCAUGUGGAAUUUACAUGUAUCUUAAACUGAUAUUUAUGUUGAGCAUGAAAUCGUAUAACUAUUUUAAAUUGAG
rnacentral:lncRNA from 1 species